GACGAACGCUGGCGGCAUGCCUAAUACAUGCAAGUCGAGCGAACAGAUGAAGUGCUUGCACUUCUGACGUUAGCGGCGAACGGGUGAGUAACACGUAAGGAAUCUACCUAUAAGCGGGGAUAACAUUCGGAAACGGGUGCUAAUACCGCAUAAUAUCUUCUUCCGCAUGGAAGAAGAUUGAAAGACGGCUCUGCUGUCACUUAUAGGUGACCUUGCGGUGCAUUAGUUAGUUGGUGGGGUAAUGGCCUACCAAGACGAUGAUGCAUAGCCGACCUGAGAGGGUGAUCGGCCACAUUGGGACUGAGACACGGCCCAAACUCCUACGGGAGGCAGCAGUAGGGAAUCUUCCGCAAUGGGCGAAAGCCUGACGGAGCAAUGCCGCGUGAGUGAAGAAGGCCUUCGGGUCGUAAAACUCUGUUAUAAGAGAAGAACAAAUUGUAGAGUAACUGCUACAGUCUUGACGGUAUCUUAUCAGAAAGCCACGGCUAACUACGUGCCAGCCGCCGCGGUAA
rnacentral:rRNA from 1 species